CUUCUAUAAUCACCUUUUGCCUCCUCACUUUCUCUCCCACCCAAAACUCUCUACUCUCUCUCUCUCUCCCUCAAAACCCAUGAUGUCUCCUACUAAUCCUUUCAUAAUCUUCCUCUAUCUUCACCAACAUCACUAUUUCACCAAAACCCCUUCCAUUCCCAUUCCCCACCCCAUCACAAUGCAACCACAAGUUUCUAACCUCAAUCCAAAUGCUCAACCCUUCUACCCACAACACACAAACAACUCCCAUUACCAACAAGACAACCUUGUACCAAAACGAACUAAGAAAACCUCUCGUCGUCGUGGAGAUGUUCAACAAUUCCCCAGCACCAUUGAUGAAGCUGAAGCAUCACG
rnacentral:lncRNA from 1 species